rnacentral:hammerhead_ribozyme from 1 species
AUCCAGCUGACGAGUCCCAAACACAACGAAAAGCGCGUCCUGUAU